GAAUGUGUGGGUGAUGGCGUGAAGCCGUGCUGCAAGCAGAGGGAACAUUGUGGAUGAAAUUCCCAACCCACGGCCUGCUCUGCUCCCCCCAAGUGAAGCCUGGUUGGCAUCGUGGAUGGGAAAGGACUCCAGGACUCCGAGGUGCAGGCCAGUGAGGAAUGGCUCCUGGGACAGUCCUUGUGUCGGACUCACGAAGGGAGGGCUCCCUGCCCUGGUCCUCCCACUGGCUUCGAAGCUGUCACUCCUAGAAGUAAGCCGAGUGAGGGCUUGUGCCGCCGGAGCCCCCGGCGCCUUCCGCAUCCAGCCCUCCGCUCGUGAGUGUGGGACAGAGAGGCACGUGUGGAAGGGCCGGAGACAGGGCCUUGCUCGUCUGCUGCCUCGCAGGGCUCCAACCGGCCAGGGAGAGAAGGACUGGACCCUGCAGGAAUGGAGUGCAGUGGUGGGAACUGGGAACUGGAUUGGCCCUGUGACCCCAUCAUCUAUAAAAGGAAUUAGAGAAAGAAUCCUUUUAAAAUGAAAGUUUAAAGCAUUAAAAAUUGCUCUGGGUUCAAAAAUCUGAGGCAAUGGCUGAGGUGCUUUCAUCAGCCACCCAAGUCACAAGAGUGCUCGCUUGCCUGAGGCUGGAUUGGGUAAGCGGAAGAGGGUCCCCGCAGUCCCAUCAGGAGAUGAGGCUGGAGGAUGGCAGUCUACCCCAGUUCACUGGGAGGAGGUAACUGGACCAGAGGAGGAGGGGCGACUGGAGCCUCAUGUUCAAACUGAACCAUCUACCGCUUUGCUCUCAACCUCUCAACCUGGGUUCAAAUCCUAGUUCUAUGGCUUGCCAGCCAUGAGACCUUAGGCAGGUUGGUUCAUUUCCUGGAACUUCAGUUUUCUCAUCUGUAAAAUGGGGAUAAUAAAGUACUUAUGUCCUGGGCUGCCAGAAGGAUCAGGGGAAUGAGGGCAUGGAAACUGACGGCGGCCGACACGUAGCAGAUGCUCGGUAAACGUCAGCUUUACUUUAGAUUCCAAGAAUCUGAAAGCACUGUGAGUUGUUCUUAGGAACCAAAUGUAAUUUACAGUCAAUAGGAAAUAAAGUGCACACUUCAAAUAAUGAGAUAAGUUCCAAGAGACAACGUUGUCAUCAGUGAGUUGGGGUUUUUCUCCUACACUGUCUUGGGAGCUUCCUUACAGAUGAGUGGUCUCCCUCUAUAAACCCCGAGAGCCACAACCUCAGAGGCUUAUUGAAGUCAGUCAGGAGAGACCUCUGCUUCUCUUCAACAGGCCAGCUGAGGAGAGUCCCUCAGAUUCAACAGCUAAAGCUCCAUUUUUUAAAAUGUCAAUAAAUUGCAAGUAAACCACACAUUUAAAAUUAUUGCCUGACAACUAGGAUUAUACUUUAAAAGGUAACAUACUGAUUGUGAUCAUUUGCAGCAAAAUCACCUUGUAC